UACGGAGGGUGCAAGCGUUAUCCGGGUUCACUGGGUUUAAAGGGUGCGUAGGAGGGCAGGUAAGUCAGUGGUGAAAUCCCCGAGCUUAACUUGGGAACUGCCGUUGAUACUAUCUGUCUUGAAUGUUGUGGAGGUGAGCGGAAUAUGUCAUGUAGCGGUGAAAUGCUUAGAUAUGACAUAGAACACCAAUUGCGAAGGCAGCUCGCUACACAAUUAUUGACUCUGAUGCACGAAAGCGUGGGGAUCAAACAGG
rnacentral:rRNA from 1 species